rnacentral:tmRNA from 1 species
GGGGACGUUACGGAUUCGACAGGGGUAGGUUGGAUUUAAGUGGCGAGUCGAGGGGGUCGGCCUCGUUAAAACGCCAAAGCCAAUAACUGGCAAACAAAACAACAACCUCGCUUUAGCUGCCUAAGUAGCUUAGCGGUUCCUCCCUCCAUCGCCCAUGUGGUAGGGUAAGGGACUCAACUUAGUGGGAUACGCCGGCUGUCCGCCUCCUGAGGACGAAGGAAGAGAACAAUCAGGAUAGCCAUACGGAAGCCUGUCGAUAGGCCGAUGUAUCGGCGAAAUGCUAAUAUAUCGACUACACUCGUAGAAGCUUAAAUUACAAUAUCUUUGGACGUGGGUUCGACUCCCACCGUCUCCACCA